rnacentral:rRNA from 1 species
CAUCGGUGACAGGUGGUGCGAUGGUUGUCGUCAGCUCGUGUCGUGAGAUGUUGGUUAAGUCCGCAACGAGCGCAACCCCUAUUGUUAGUUGCCAUCAUUCAGUUGGGCACUCUAGCGAGACUGCCGGUAAUAAACCGGAGGAAGGUGGGGAUGACGUCAAAUCAUCAUGCCCCUUAUGACCUGGGCUACACACGUGCUACAAUGGUUGGUACAACGAGUUGCGAGUCGGUGACGGCGAGCUAAUCUCUUAAAGCCAAUCUCAGUUCGGAUUGUAGGCUGCAACUCGCCUACAUGAAGUCGGAAUCGCUAGUAAUCGCGGAUCAGCACGCCGCGGUGAAUACGUUCCCGGGCCUU